rnacentral:rRNA from 1 species
UACGAAGGGGGCUAGCGUUGUUCGGAAUUACUGGGCGUAAAGCGCGCGUAGGCGGAUAUUUAAGUCAGGGGUGAAAUGCCAGGGCUUAACCUUGGAACUGCCUUUGAUACUGGAUGUCUGGAGUACGGGAGAGGUGAGUGGAAUUCCGAGUGUAGAGGUGAAAUUCGUAGAUAUUCGGAGGAACACCAGAAGCGAAGGCGGCUCACUGGCCCGAUACUGGCGCUGAGGCGCGAAAGCGUGGGGAGCAAACAGG